AAACAAUAUCAUUUUCUUUCCCUUUGGGAGUUAGAUAUGCUAGCUCCUUUGCUUUGCAUAUCUGAAUCACAAUCUAGCAUGUAAUAUGCUCUUGUUUGGCUAAAAGUUGCCCAUUAUAAAAUAUUUUCUCUUUCAAUUAUAUCCAAUAUGGAAUAAUAUAAUACUUCAAGAGCAGAUGAUUAUUGCAUUUUUUUCAGGCUUCCAUUCUAGUGACAACUUAAAAGUGAAGCAACUGCUAGAUGUUUGAUUAAGUUUCGAUGAUGCCUAAACCCUAGCUGUGUAUUCUGCUGGUAAAGUUUUGUUCCGGAUAUACAAGUCAUGGGGUGAUGCUAAUGUUCAUAGAAUAUAGUACAAAAUUGAAGUGGUGGGACGGUAGGUUGUUGUAAACCAAACUGGAGCAUGGAUUGGCAAGCAGUUUUUCCGAGAACCAAGUCAAUCUCUCUUCCGUUGUGCUAGUUAUAUUAAUGUUUUUCAAGUUGUUGAUCAAGUAGCAGCUGCUGCUAAUUAACUAAAUGACUCGAAUGUCAAGUGUGGCCUCUUGUUUGAUUUGUAUCAAGGCUAGGCAACCAUAUUGUUUGUUAAUUACUUGUUC